UGGGGAAUAUUGCACAAUGGGGGAAACCCUGAUGCAGCGACGCCGCGUGAGCGAAGAAGGUUUUCGAAUCGUAAAGCUAUGUCCUAUGGGAAGAUAAUGACGGUACCAUAGGAGGAAGCCCCGGCUAACUACGUGCCAGCAGCCGCGGUAAUACGUAGGGGGCAAGCGUGGUCCGGAAUCACUGGGCGUAAAGGGUUCGCAGGCGGAAAUGCAAGUCAGUUGUGAAAGGCAGAGGCUCAACCUCUGUAAGCAAUUGAAACUGUAUUUCUUGAGAUGUGGAGAGGCAAGUGGAAUUCCUCGUGUAGCGGUGAAAUGCGUAGAUAUUAGGAAGAAUACCGGUGGCGAAGGCGACUUGCUGUACACAAACUGACGCUGAGGAACGAAAGCGUGGGUAGCAAACAGG
rnacentral:rRNA from 1 species